GGGGCUGGGGUUGCCACUUGGUCUCGAGUGUCUGGGUUAUAAAUUCAGCGUGAGGAGAAAACAAAGGCAUUAUCUAGUUCUCACCCAGCCAGCGCAAUGAAACAAGCCUUGUGGUUACUGCUCCUUUAGCCCAGACACAACAUCAGAGCGCCCCCUGCUGGCCAACUGAACAGAGAGCCUCCGGUCCGCAGCACAGACUUUUCUCAAGCAAAGCUUGCCAGUACCAGGGAGAUUUCCUGUCAGGGCUCAAUGUUUAAAUAUAUAUGUGUGUGUAUAUAUAUAAGAAAGGACACUUUCUGUUUCCCCCCCACGCCUUCCUCUUGGCCUCAGGGGAUUAUAAUAUAAACUGUUUAGGAAACUGCCAUUUAAAAAAAAAACUACAAAAACUGCAGAUCUAAAAAGGGAAAAAUGUUGAUAACAAGGAUAAAUAUACCGGUGUAGCUGCUGCGGUUUAAUUUGUGUCGAUUUUCCUGCACUCGCGGAGAAAUGCAAACAUCAAAAAAGUGAUCUUAUCGUCCUGGGUUAACGAUGGCAUAGAGAGAAGAAGGGCAGGUAACAUUUUGUCCCCCCUGCUAUAGAAAAGUUAAACCCAAGAUGAUACAGAAUACCGAGAUAAUACCUGUGCCAGUGAGCAUGUGGUUACUACUGUAGUCGAGCUGUCAUCCAGGUAACUGCUAAAACUUGCCACCUAGCUUCUUGAUAUUAAAUGUAAUUAUACACAUACACUCCAUCUAUUCAUACCCGGUGUAUGUGUGCCUACACCUACCUAUACAGCAUUGUGCAUAAGCAUUCGGUGGGAAGCUAAAAAUGACAGUGAAACAUGACAAAAUAAGUGUCACAUUUUCCCAGUCAUUUAUAUGUAAGCUUACGGUUUCUGCUCUUUAAAAACAGCAAAAUCAGCUGUACUAAGAACCUGAUGCUAUUGCUUUCUAGGGCGGUUGUUGUUUUCUUAUUAUGCAAUGGCUAUUUCGCACAUUGUUGAUCCUUGCAUGCGCGCACACGCACACACGUUAGAAUAAUUAAGCCUGGUCAUUUUUUUUUUUCUAUAGGGGCUGUAAUGAUCACCUUGAACUAAUAUCUAAAUUAUUAGCACCAUCUUCUUCUGGGAGAAAACGACCUGGAAAUUCAGCGGUAAAGUGGGAUCCUCAAAAGCGCUCAGACGGGGUAGUUGCCUUCCUAGCAAAUUAUUCUCCAUAACUUCGUGCGUGAGAGCAGACGCUUUUCUUUUAAUGUUGGGUUUUUUUCAACGUCUCCUUUGGAGGAGCUGCCGGUUCAGUGGGGCGGACUCAAUCCGGAGUGGAGCAGGCAGCCCCCGGUGGAAAACAGUGACAUGUAACAAAAGCAGAACACCAUUUUAAAGCUCCAAUAAAAUCGUAAAUCACUUGUGUUUAAAGAGGCACCAGGGCCACUGUGUAAACUGAGGUACAGUUAAAUAUUUAUAGUUUAAAGGAUUAUUUUGUCUAUUUUAGAAGAAACAUCAAGUUCACUUGGUUCAGGGCUCUGUCUACACAGAAAUACAGGCACAAUAAUGCCCUGCAGAAGAGCUGAAGGAUUUGGAUCAUGGCAGUAGCUCCCCAAAUUUAUUUUCGUUUUUUUAAUGUGUGUGUGUGUAGAGGGAGGAGGAGGUUGGGGAGAGGAAUAUAUAACUGAACAGCAGAAAACACCUUUCUGGAAACAAAGGCAAGGAGCAGCAUUUCAAUUGCAAAUGCAUCAGCCAGAGACCAAAUAACAGUUGUGGGAAGACACUCAUAAAAUUAAUGUACCUUACUUAAAAAAAAAAUCAAAUGCUUACUACAGUUACCUCGGUGCAGCUUAAUAAAAAAUUAGCCUUACUGACAGUCUUGUCAACAUCUUAAGUAAAUUAUCAUAGCGCUGGUCUUUGGAGAAGAGACCCCACACUUCUUGCUAAAACACCUCCUAUCAUUAAUCUUAAACCACUUGAAGAUUAUGAUGGAAAGAAUGGGAUCACUAGCCAUUAUCAUCUCAAAUUGCUGUUAAAAAGUCCGCUGUUUAUUUUUGCAACCAAAGCAAAUGUAUCUGGGAAAUGCAGAAGAGGGAAGAAAGGAAAACACAAGAAAGGCAGAACAAUUGAGGCGAAUCCUGUUGCAACCCCGAUGAUAAACACAUGGAAAAGGCUGUUACUGCUCUUUGGAUUGCUGGAAUUUGUGCAGACAUUAGAAAAAUAAACAAAGCGAUGGCUCCACAUCAGCUCUGUAAAUGCAAUGAUACAGUCAAUGGAAGGAUUUGGCAUAAAUGGGGCAAUCUGCUGUGUUCCAGUCAUUCAACCUGAAAUGUUAUCCGCGUACCUUUGCACCUUAAGUGAAUGCACAGUUCGAGGCGAACGGUGCAUGUAGCUGAAUACAACCACAAUGCAGAUUGUAAAGUCCUUCUUUAAAAUGCAACAUAGUUAAAAUGCAACAGUUCACAGGAACGUUUAACAAUACGAUGUGAAGCAAUCGACUCCCCUCCCCAAAGACACAGAGAGAGAGAGAGAGAGAAAACACUAAAACCUGAGGAUGCAAACUAAACUAAACUAAACUAAACUAAACUAAACUAAACUAAACCCAUCUCCAUGCUUUGGCGAGCUGAAUGUUCCUGUUGUUCCUACGAGGACUCCAUUUCGAUAUCAGUGUAAUAAAGAGAGAGGUAGGUGGGUUGAUUUGUUUUUUGUUUAAAUGGAGACAAUAUUUUUCUCUUGACGUUAAAAGGAUGAAUAACAUUCAAACGGAAACUUCUGCCUUAAGCUCUGCCCAGGUACGUGUAACACAGACAGACAGCUCCACCGCCUGCUCCCCCGCAUUGCCCCAGCAGUGACCUCAGCCCGGAGAUGCAGAGAGGUGAGAGGUGACUCUGCGAGCUAGCGCAGACCUGGCCCUUUUAGAGCCAUAGCGUGGAAGUGGGGCUAAUCAGUCCUUUACUGGAUUUAAAAUAUAGGGACCAGAAGGGAAGCCCCUUGGUUGCAAAGAACAUGCACUGAGAACGAAAUAGCAUUAAAAUGAAGAGAAUACUGUCCUGAGCAGAGGGAUUUAGCCCUAACAGUUUUGGUAAGGUAAACUGUAAAAUUAUAUACACACUGUACCGCUAGAUCAGUUAGACAUACCCCUCUGUCUGUGUGUGCGAUCAUAUCUGUCUAUUACACACACUGUCAUGAAAUAAGGUGAUAAAGUUAUGAUACAGCGUGGAAGAACUGUAGUCCUAUAUGCUGUGCAACUGAGAUGUGCACAAGGAGUAGGUUGCAGAACACUAUGCUCUGGCGUGUUAAAAUAAUUGUCUCCAUAUCUAGAGAUCCACUAUUUACAUUAUAAUGUACAACUAAGUUACAUAAGAA